UCCUGGUUAACCCAGGCAGUCUCGUUAGAGUUCCCGCCAUUACGCGUUGGCAACUAACGAUAAGGGUUGCGCUCGUUGCUGGACUUAACCAAACACCUCACGGCACGAGCUGACGACGGCCAUGCAGCACCUAUAUAGAGACCCUUUCGGGAUAUGACAUCUCUGUCAUAGUCCUCUACAUUUCGAGCCCAGGUAAGGUUCUUCGCGUUGCAUCGAAUUAAACCACAUGCUCCACUGCUUGUGCGGGCCCCCGCCAAUUCCUUUGAGUUUCAAUCUUGCGAUCGUACUUCCCAGGUGGGAUACUUAAUGCUUUCGCUCAGACACUUGCUGUGUAUCGCAAAUGUCGAGUAUCCAUAGUUUAGGGCGUGGACUAC
rnacentral:misc_RNA from 1 species